UGUUAAAAUCAAUCUUUGAUGACUAGACACACACCAUACGGACCCAAAUUCCUACAAGUUAUAUAUGCCGUGUAGGCAACUUAGAUUCGUGAGUCAUAGACUUAUUAGUGAUAACAAAGGUCUCGGUACUUGGUUUACACAACAGAAUUACGAUGCAUGGUAGUUAAACCGAGCUUUGUUUAGACAAUUGAAAGCAUCCAUGUAGGAGACGAAGCCCAUGAACCAAAACUCAAACCCAUCUUGUGUCACCACAUGCACAUACCUCUCGCUUGGCUUCAACACGUUCGAUGAUGAGUUAAUGCUCCUUAUCUUUUCCAAUUCCAUCAUCACCUAUCAAUACAUUAGAACAUCACAUUUUUUUAGUACUGAUUGGUUAUUAUGGACUAAAAUGGAACAUUAAAGAGUCGUAUAGUCUGACCUUAUAAUAAGCCGGAACACCGGUGGAAGGACUGCGGAUAGCAUAGUCGCUACAAAAUGCGAUCCUUUUAUUCGAGAUGUAUAACACUCCGGUCACUGGUCCUGAAGUGGUCGAUAUGUAGCAAACGAACGAGUCCAAGAGUUUCUCUGAGGAUAAUAGACCAAACUCUCUUUGAAACACCCUGUAUGGUCCUCCUUCAACCAAUAUUUUAGUGCCUUGAGCAAGCCUAGCCCUUGCUGCAUCACUUAGGCUAGGACUAAACUUCACUGUUCAUGUCAAAAUUCUGGGAUGAUUUAGUUUUUGUUCAACUUCAAAGAUAAAACUAACACAGCCCAAACCAAAUCCGGUAGACUAACCCAGAGUUAAACUUAGUUCAAUAAAUCAAAUCAUCCGAAAUUCUAUAAAAUUCACAUUUUCCCAUUAAUAAAACUAGAUGUAGAAUUGAUUAAUAUAAUAUCUAAUUAGGGAAAUUAUUAUAAAAAACAAAUGACCAAUAUUUUUGUAAUAUAAAAUAUUAAUUUAAUUUAAAAUUAAUUUAAGAAACCUACUUUUAAAAUAAACUGACAACUUAAUUUAAGAAACCUUUUAUGGCAUUGACUAAUAAUAUAGGCAAUAUAUGAAGAGGUCACGUACGGUGGUCUUUCAAACCGUCGGCGAAUGAUUCUGCCUUACGAGUCACCUGCUCCACUUUCUUCCCGCACCGAUUCAACACCUCGAGAAUCUUAUCUUUCGACCCUAUAUCGAUCCAUCAUAUAUAUCAUCAUAAUAUCAGUAUCAACCUUUAUAUAAUCGAACAUCACUGAUUAAUGGGUGAUUAACUAUGACACAUACUCAUAUAAGCAAAGUAAUUACAUUUUACAAUUUUUGCUUACUCUUAUCAGAAGCCGAGGUAGGUGUAGUAGUCUGGAUGUAAGGAUUGUAGUUAUUACGACCGCCCUGACCGAUGUUCUUAUGCUUAACCGUCGAGUCUUUCUCGUUCACGGUCUUGUAUUGUGGAUUCAUGAUGUUACCUUAUGAUGGUACGUAAAAGGGUACGAUAUAUGUGAGGUUAAUAUAGAUCGGAGGCUCGUGGGUUGUACGCUAUUGAACUUUUAUUAGCUGUUUUUAAAAAAAGAUUCUGAUAAGUGAUACGCACUCACUAACAACGACCAUGAACAAGUUACUACUUUGUUAAAAUCAAUCUUUGAUGACUAGACACACACCAUACGGACCCAAAUUCCUACAAGUUAUAUAUGCCGUGUAGGCAACUUAGAUUCGUGAGUCAUAGACUUAUUAGUGAUAACAAAGGUCUCGGUACUUGGUUUACACAACAGAAUUACGAUGCAUGGUAGUUAAACCGAGCUUUGUUUAGACAAUUGAAAGCAUCCAUGUAGGAGACGAAGCCCAUGAACCAAAACUCAAACCCAUCUUGU
rnacentral:lncRNA from 1 species